UACGGAGGGGGCUAGCGUUGUUCGGAAUUACUGGGCGUAAAGCGCACGUAGGCGGCUUUGUAAGUUAGAGGUGAAAGCCCAGGGCUUAACCCUGGAAUUGCCUUUAAGACUGCAUCGCUAGAAUUGUGGAGAGGUAAGUGGAAUUCCGAGUGUAGAGGUGAAAUUCGUAGAUAUUCGGAAGAACACCAGUGGCGAAGGCGACUUACUGGACACAUAUUGACGCUGAGGUGCGAAAGCGUGGGGAGCAAACGGG
rnacentral:rRNA from 1 species